GGACUGAGGCUCACUGGUAGAGCAUCUGCUUUGAAUGCAGAAGGCCCCAGGUUUAAUCCCUGCAGUCCC